GUGAGCCGCCAGUAUGGCCGGGCUAUGGCGGCGAGCACUGGCUACGUGCGACUGUGGGGAGCGGCGCGGUGCUGGGCGCUGCGCCGGCCGAUGCUGGCCGCCGCCGGGGGGCGGGUCCCCACUGCAGCCGGAGCGUGGUUGCUCCGAGGCCAGCGGACCUGCGACGCCUCUCCUCCUUGGGCACUGUGGGGCCGAGGCCCGGCAAUUGGGGGCCAAUGGCGGGGGUUUUGGGAAGCGAGCAGCCGCGGCGGAGGCGCAUUCUCGGGGGGCGAGGACGCCUCCGAGGGCGGCGCGGAGGAAGGAGCCGGGGGCGCGGGGGGCAACGCGGGCGGCGGGGAAGGCCCGGUCAUAACGGCGCUCACGCCCAUGACGAUCCCCGAUGUGUUCCCGCACCUGCCGCUCAUCGCCAUCACCCGCAACCCGGUGUUCCCGCGCUUUAUCAAGAUCAUCGAGGUGUUCCCAAACCAUGUUGAUUAGUAUCCGGGAUCCAAUAAGCAUGUCCCCAGAGAAUAAUCUAGACAGCGUUAGAGCUGCUCUGCUAUCAAAAAAUGUCAGCUACAAAAGCUACCCUGGGAGGCCGGGCGUGGUAG
rnacentral:sRNA from 1 species